AAUAGGAGAAUGAUAAAUCAAAUUUUUGCUCUUGAUAUUCAACUUUUUCGUCCUGAAAAAAAUUCAAAUCCAACUAAAAAUGCUAAAAAUUAAGAAGAAAAAUCCGAUUUGUCAUUCUCCUAUU
rfam:Gossypium raimondii Chr01_contig_307, whole genome shotgun sequence.